rnacentral:rRNA from 1 species
UACGAAGGGGGGCUAGCGUUGCUCGGAAUCACUGGGCGUAAAGCGCACGUAGGCGGAUCUUUAAGUCAGAGGUGAAAUCCCAAGGCUCAACCUUGGAACUGCCUUUGAUACUGGGGAUCUCGAGUCCGGAAGAGGUGAGUGGAACUGCGAGUGUAGCGGUGAAAUGCGUAGAUAUCUGGAGGAACACCGGUGGCGAAGGCGGCAUCCUGGACCGGUAUUGACGCUGAGGCGCGAAAGCUAGGGGAGCAAACGGG